GGCCUUUUCACCAAUGCCGCGAGUGCCUAUAUUCGCGGAGCCGGACUUGAUCCGGCUAUGGCAAUAAACGGCCGAUGUAAUAAACCUUUCGGACCCGGGGGCGGUACCCGGCGCCUCCACCUGAGCCCACCCCGGCGAUCGUCGCGCCGUGGGUUGAGGCGGGGGCGAAAUAGGAUCGACGAGGGCGUAAAAAUCGGACUUUUGCUCGGCAUGGUACCACCGUCAUCGGGCUGUAAAAGUAGUUGCCAACGACAACUAUGCGGAAGUCCGUCUCGCCGCGUAAUGCGGUGCGAUAACUUCGAAUCAAGCCCUAGUGGUUCGCACUUCUAGGCGGGGCUCGGAGGCGCCUGGCAACAGAAGCCUCCACC
rnacentral:tmRNA from 1 species